GCUGAGCUUUGAAAAUAUUCCACUCUUGAUGCUCUGGGGUUAUGGAUCAUCCCUGGGACCUGUGUUUCAUUCUCAACCGAGGAGGUGGGGAAACUCACAGCUGCUGCUCUGAGGGAAGCUCAUUCAGCGUCGGCCCGAACCAUGACCCCUUAUGAAGGCCCAAGUCUGGACCCAGACUGGAUUUUCCGGUCACGUCUCCCAUGGACAUGCACACGCAGCAGGGCAGGCAGGGGCUGGCCCCAUAGCUGAGUGGUUAAGUUCGUGCGCUCUGCUGCAGGCAGCCCAGUGUUUCGUUGGUUCGAAUCCUGGGUGUGGACAUGGCACUGCUCAUUGAGCCACACUGGGGCAGCGUCCCACAUGCCAUAACUUGAAGGACCCACAGUGAAGAAUAUACAACUAUGUGUUGGAGGGCUUUGGGGAGAAAAAGGAAAAAAAUAAAAUCUUAAAAAAAAAA
rnacentral:lncRNA from 1 species